AUUGAACGCUGGCGGCAUGCCUUACACAUGCAAGUCGAACGGCAGCAUGAUCUUGCUUGCUGGAUUGAUGGCGAGUGGCGCGCGGGUGAGUCAUACAUCUGAACGUGCCCUGUAGUGGGGGACAACUAGUCGAAAGAUUUACUACUACCGCAUACCACCUGAGGGUGAAAGUGGGGGACCGCAAGGCCUCAUGCUAUAGGAGCGGCCGAUGUCUGAUUAGCUAGUUGGUGAGGUAAAGGCUUACCAAGGUGACGAUCAGUAGCUGGUCUGAGAGGACGAUCAGCCACACUGGAACUGAGACACGGCCCAGACUCCUACGGGAGGCAGCAGUGGGGAAUUUUGGACAAUGGGCGAAAGCCUGAUCCAGCAAUGCCGCGUGUGUGAAGAAGGCCUUCGGGUUGUAAAGCACUUUUGUCCGGAAAGAAAUGGCUCUGGUUAAUACCUGGGGUCGAUGACGGUACCGGAAGAAUAAGGACCGGCUAACUACGUG
rnacentral:rRNA from 1 species